AACGCAUAUUGCGCUCUCUGGUAUUCCGGAGAGCAUGCUUGUUUGAGUAUCAGUAAACACCUCAGAUCUUCAUUUUAUUUUUGAAAGGGAGAUUUGGAUUUGAGUGAUCCCAACAUUUUCUUUAAUGGCGGGCCGCUUGAAAUGCAGGUGCAGCUGAACAUUCUUCUGAGCUAAAAGCAUAUUUAUUUAGUCCAGCCUCUGGUCGGAUUAUUACUUUUUGCUGCAGCUAACAUAAAGGUUGAAUUUGUUCAAAAUGCUGACUGAUGCAGGAAAUAUCAGUUGAUUGCGAAAGCAGAAGACUGUAAAUCUCGAUCUCAAAUCAAGUAAGACUACCCGCUGAACUUAA
rnacentral:misc_RNA from 1 species